AUUAACCUAUAGCUGUACAAUGUAAACUAUGGGAAUGCAACAAGAGUAUAAAUCUCAAUAACCGAAAAUUAUACCAUAGCUAUCUAUGGUAUAAUUUUCACAAUUAUACCAUGGUUUUGUUGUGUAUGAUUUUCGAAAAGAAAAACAAAGAUGGCAAGACCUGAACGAGGCCGCCUGAAUUUUUUAAUUGACAUAUGAACAACAGAGUCAAUGUGGGGCCACUAAGCUAAACUGCCCGCUUUGCACCAGCCGAUAUAAAUGAAUGCCUAGGGUGGGAAUCGAACCCACAUACACCAACACCGUUGUCCCUAUAUUUUUAAAUGAACAAAAAAUUGUCAAGAAC
rnacentral:lncRNA from 1 species